rnacentral:tRNA from 2 species
GCUCCUGUAGCUCAAUUGGCAGAGCACCCGCCUUGUAAGCGGAAGGUUCGCGGUUCAAUUCCGCGCAGGAGCU